rnacentral:rRNA from 1 species
CCUACGGGAGGCUGCAGUGAGGAAUAUUGGUCAAUGGGCGCGAGCCUGAACCAGCCAAGUAGCGUGAAGGAUGACUGCCCUACGGGUUGUAAACUUCUUUUAUAAAGGAAUAAAGUGAGGUACGUGUGCCUUUUUGUAUGUACUUUAUGAAUACGGAUCGGCUAACUCCGGGCCAGCAGCCGCGGUAAUACGGAGGAUCCGAGCGUUAUCCGGGUUUAGUGGGUUUAAAGGGAGCGUAGAUGGCUUGUUAGGUCAGUUGUGAAAGUUUGCGGCUCAACCGUAAAGUUGCAAUUGAUACUGGCCGUCUUGAGUACAGUUGAGGUAGGCGGAAUUCGUGGUGUAGCGGUGAAAUGCUUAGAUAUUACGAAGAACUCCGAUUGCGAAGGCAGCUUACUAAACUGCCACUGACAUUGAUGCUCGAAAGUGUGGGUAGCAAACAGGAUUAGAUACCCCAGUAGUC